rnacentral:rRNA from 1 species
CCUACGGGAGACAGCAGUGGGGGAUAUUGCACAAUGGGGGGAACCCUGAUGCAGCGACGCCGCGUGGGUGAAGGAGUGCUUCGGCAUGUAAAGCCCUAUCGGCAGGGAAGAAGCAAGACGGUACCUGACUAAGAAGCCCCGGCUAACUACGUGCCAGCAGCCGCGGUAAUACGUAGGGGGCGAGCGUUAUCCGGUUUCACGGGGGGUAAGGGGAGCGUAGACGGCCAUGCAAGCCAGGGGUGAAAGCCCGGGGCCCAACCCCGGGACUGCCCUUGGAACUGGAUGGCUGGAGUGCGGGAGGGGCAGGCGGAAUUCCUGGUGUAGCGGUGAAAUGCGUAGAUAUCAGGAGGAACACCGGCGGCGAAGGCGGCCUGCUGGACCGCGACUGACGUUGAGGCUCGAAAGCGUGGGGAGCGAACAGGAUUAGAUACCCCUGUAGUC